AAAUCAGUAUGGAAGUAAAGCUGAAGGAAGAGCUUAAAGCAGAAAUGUGUUCCUAUUGACAAGGCAACAAUUGAAUCAAACCAAACAGAGCAAAGAGUGGAGGAAAAUGGAGGAAGUCAUGGACAUAACAGAAAACAUAUGACCUAAUACCUGCAGAUUUUGAAUUCAUAUCAUCAGUGCAUCUAAAUUGGUCAAAAGAUGAAAGAUCUCAGCAUAAAUUGUUCAAUCAUGCAAAGCAU